AAAUUUGGCGCACGUGAGCGAGCGUCUUGUCCCACCCUUUUAACCGCCAUAGUUGCCUAUAAAUAGUCAGUGAAACGCCACUAACUGAUAUUCCUCCAUACUGACUGCAUGACAACAAAUCUCGACAGAAAGGCAAUAAAAAUAAACAUUUCACCCAGUGUGAAAUGGAAGUUCUUGUAGGAGAGGAUGAAGAAGGAAAAUAUAUGCUUUGGUGGACAUAGUGGGGCUUUACAUGUGGCGGACGCUGUGAAUGCUGCUGGCUCAAAUGAAAAGGUGGUGGGACAAGUGGAGGUCAAAAGGUGCAUCGCCUUACACAGUGUUCUGCCACGGCGGAGGAACGGACACCGGAGCUCAACCCUCCUCAACCCCCUUGCCGGUAUUAUAGGGGAAUCCCUCCUGAGUAGUGACUGAGGGGGACACGGACAUGCAAGACGCACCGGAUGAUCCAGGAUAGCUCCCACAUUACACACAUAAUCUCCUUUGUAACCGAACACUGUGUGCCCGAAGAAGAUUCUACGAUGACGGACAGACAACUGAGCCAAUGGCGGAAGACUACAGACUACAACCAGCUGAACCAAUCCGGAGAUCCAAUCUUCCUAGAGUCAACCUACUUCCUGUGACGUAUAUAAGGGCUGUGCUGACUGUUUACGCGCUCUCUGCCUGCUGUUCCAACACGAACUAACGGAAGAGCCGUAAUUACGCUGUACUACAUAUUUUCACUCUGAAUAAACUGUUUACUUGUCAUAAAAUUUA